rnacentral:rRNA from 1 species
GUGGGUUGCUCCAGAAGUAGGUAGUCUAACCUCGGGAGGCGCUUACCACGGUGUGGUCGAUGACUGGGGUGAAGUCGUAACAAGGUAGCCGUAGGUGAACCUGCAGAAGGAUCA